rnacentral:rRNA from 1 species
CAGUCGCCGCGGGAAUACGUAGGGUGCGAGCGUUAAUCGGAAUUACUGGGCGUAAAGCGUGCGUAGGCGGUGAGUUAAGUCCGUUGUGAAAGCCCUGGGCUCAACCUGGGAAUUGCAGUGGAUACUGGGUCACUAGAGUGUGGUAGAGGAUAGUGGAAUUUCCGGUGUAGCAGUGAAAUGCGUAGAGAUCGGAAGGAACAUCUGUGGCGAAGGCGACCCCCUGGACAAAGACUGACGCUCAGGUGCGAAAGCGUGGGGAGCAAACAGGAUUAGAUACCCGCGUAGUCCCUGUCUCUUAUAC